UACGAAGGGGGCUAGCGUUGCUCGGAUUGACUGGGCGUAAAGGGCGCGUAGGCGGCCUGGCAAGUGGAAGGUGAAAUCCCUCGGCUUAACCGAGGAACUGCCCUCCAAACUGCUUGGCUUGAGUCCGGGAGAGGUGAGUGGAAUUCCCAGUGUAGCGGUGAAAUGCGUAGAUAUUGGGAGGAACACCAGUGGCGAAGGCGGCUCACUGGACCGGAACUGACGCUGAGGCGCGAAAGCGUGGGGAGCAAACGGG
rnacentral:rRNA from 1 species